UGUAUGUACUUCGAAUGUUCUGUUACCUGCCUGCCCCACCCCCGCUGUUGCUCUACCCCCUUUUGGAAUGAGCCACUAGUGGAUCAUCCACAUUCUCUUUCCAACCUGCACCAUGCCACGCCCAUGCUCCAAACCCACCUGGAUCCGUAACGGGAGCAGAGGCAUGCGAUGAAACAACAUUAAUGCAUGACCCAGUCUGACUUUGGAAUCAAUGAAGGAAAGAUGACUUUCUUUUGAUGAGAAGCGGUGCUUCAUGCACAGUCUCCCCCUGUUCUUAUUCUGAGCUGCUGCACCAGGUACUCGUAGAUGUGCUGCGCCUGCAUUGUACGUUGCCAGAUUCCCAGAAGGAACAGCGGACAGCAACUAUACUUAAUUCGCAGACCCGUUGCUGCAUGCUGAGCAAGGGGAUGCACCACUGGAAUGAAUAUCUGUGCAAUCAUCACUCCAGGGAAAAAAUUCCUUGCAUAGAAAACACUUCCAGUAGCAUUGGUAUCGCACUCUGUGUGUUCUGUGGCUGAAAACAUUGUCCAGGAGAACAUAUAGUCUUCAUUUAUUCACAUUUCUAUAAUGAUGAACAACAGUUAUAUGUGGUACUUUUCUGUAUCCAGGUGUAUCUGGUUGUAGGGGGGAAAUAUGACCCCGCCCACCUUGUGGAUGGUACAAUUUAGAAAUCAGUUUUCCUUCAUUUAUUUCACUCAUCAAUUAUUUUUGGGCAUUUUAUCUUACUUACUACAAAGCUGUAUACUUACUUGAAACCAUCAAAAUAUCAACUAAUAACAGCUUAUAUCCUGCUUGUUAAUUUACAGCACUGACCACCUUCUUUUUUUAGCACUAACGAUGAUUCACAAUCAUCAUCUGUGCAUGUUAAUGUCUACGUCAUAUCUGGGACUGAUUUGCCAAAAAUUCAAUUUAACCCUGCCCUUACUGCCAUAACAUGCUUCCACUAUGAUGCUGAAAACCAUGAGAAGUUUAGAACAGCCAUUCAUUGAAUUAUAUUAAAAUUGUAUGGAUGGAUGCAGGGUCAGUUCCCCCUGCCGUGCCCUGCCCCAGAACAGUUGUGACAUCAGUUACAGUUAGUUUAUUUAGGAAGUGGUUGAAUCCAAAGUGAUGCACAACUGAGAAGGCAGGGUCAGACAGUCCCAGGAUACCUAGGAUUAAGGACCUUGCUCAGGUGCCCAAUGGUGAAAUCACUCUUGGAUUUGAGCUGACAACAUUCCGAUGACAAGCACAGUAUUCUAACCCUCUGAACCAAAUCCCAGAUCAAAUCAUCACUUUGCUAUCAGGCAAAGCACUGCUUGUAAAUAGCUUGCUCUCAUACAGUUGCUCGACUAGGGAUUAGGAUUAUGGUUAGGAUAGAGCAGUGUUUGCCAACGCAUUGAUCACAACGUACAACUAGCCUUCUGGGAGCCAACAAGUAGCCCGCUUAACACUUACUAGAAGUAAAAUUGAUUUAUCUGUCGCCACCCUACCUUCCAUAUGUUUCUUCUUUGGGAAAUAAACAUUUGUCAUGCAAAUCGCAUCCAAAAUAGCUGCAGUCUGAUAUAUAAUAAACACAGCACAAAAUAAGUCUAUAGUGAUUACAUUUCAAAAUCAUGAAAAUUAUCUAAUUUUUUCAUUUGCUAUUACCUUUAAAACUAUUUUAACCUCUGGAACUUUCAAUAUCAUUCUUUUGAUUGUGUUCUUUAACAAGCCAGAUUACCCUUGUUACUUGUGUAUUUGGCUAAAUGGUUGUAUCUUAUAACACUAUUUCACCAGUGGCUAGAAAAAAGAAAAACACUUAAUUGAUGCCAGUGAUUUAGAGCUUGGAGUAAAAACACUUCAUAGAGA